rnacentral:lncRNA from 1 species
CCCCAAAGCUAGAGAAUUCCUGCUCUGAGCCAUCUCUGAAAGCACCAAGAGCCAGGAGAUGCCAGCUCACGGAGGAAAAUCUGGAAGGUGUUGAAGCAUAGACGCUGGAACAUAAAAUGACUCAUGAUCUCACUGGGAGAAGGGCUGGGAACAUCGUGGGCUCUCUUCUCCCCGCGCUCCUGUCUCCGGGUCUCUGUUUCCCUCAUUCGAACCAUCGGCGCAGUACAUCAGGCUAGAAGCCUGGGGUCACCCCACCAUCCCGCCACAAGCCCCUCCGAGGCAUCGCUGUGUCCAGGUUUUGCAAACUCCACCUCCUGAAGGGGCUGGGGUCUGUCCACUUCGCCCCGUCUGCCGUGGCAGCACUUCCUUCGUGGUUCGCAGCCUCACAGCAGCCUCCUAGGAAGGCACCUCCCUGGGGCCCCUCUCAGUCCGCG